rnacentral:rRNA from 1 species
GAAUCUUGGACAAUGGGCGCAAGCCUGAUCCAGCCAUGCCGCGUGAGUGAAGAAGGCCUUAGGGUUGUAAAGCUCUUUCGCCCGCGAAGAUAAUGACGGUAGCGGGAGAAGAAGCCCCGGCUAACCCCGUGCCAGCAGCCGCGGUAAUACGGAGGGGGCUAGCGUUGUCCGGAGUCACUGGGCGUAAAGCGCGCGUAGGCGGCCUGUUAAGUUGGAUGUGAAAGCCCGGGGCUCAACCCCGGAUGCGCAUCCGAGACUGGCAGGCUGGAGUCCGGGAGAGGGCGGCGGAAUUCCCAGUGUAGAGGUGAAAUUCGUAGAUAUUGGGAAGAACACCGGUGGCGAAGGCGGCCGCCUGGCCCGGAACUGACGCUGAGGCGCGAAAGCGUGGGGAGCAAACAGG